rnacentral:rRNA from 1 species
UGGGGAAUCUUGGACAAUGGGCGCAAGCCUGAUCCAGCAACACCGUGUGAGCGAGGAAGGUCUUCGGAUCGUAAAGCUCUGUUGUUGGGGACGAAGGGCGAAGGGUUAAUAGCCCCUAGCCUGACGGUACCCUUCGAGGAAGCCCCGGCUAACUACGUGCCAGCAGCCGCGGUAAUACGUAGGGGGCGAGCGUUGUCCGGAAUUAAUGGGCGUAAAGAGCGUGUAGGCGGCCUGGUAAGUCUGCCGUGAAAACCUGGGGCUCAACCCUGGGCGUGCGGUGGAUACUGCUAGGCUAGAGGAUGGUAGAGGCGAGUGGAAUUCCCGGUGUAGCGGUGAAAUGCGCAGAUAUCGGGAGGAACACCAGUAGCGAAGGCGGCUCUCUGGGCCAUACCUGACGCUGAGACGCGAAAGCUAGGGGAGCAAACAGGAUUAGAUACCCCCGUAGUCC